ACCUGAGUGGCUCAGUCGGUGGGGCAUCUGACUUCAGCUCAGGUCACGAUCCCGCAGUCUGUGGGUUCGAGCCCCGCGUCGGGCU
rnacentral:tRNA from 1 species